rnacentral:rRNA from 1 species
GACAGAGGGUGCAAACGUUGUUCGGAAUUACUGGGCGUAAAGCGCAUGUAGGCGGCCACGCAAGUCGGGCGUGAAAUCCCACGGCUCAACCGUGGAAGUGCACUCGAAACUGCGUAGCUAGAGUCCUGGAGAGGAAGGUGGAAUGCUUGGUGUAGAGGUGAAAUUCGUAGAUAUCAAGCGGAACACCGGUGGCGAAGGCGGCCUUCUGGACAGUGACUGACGCUGAGAUGCGAAAGCGUGGGGAGCAAACAGG